rnacentral:rRNA from 1 species
GCUGCCUGACGUGGAUGCUCGUCUUCAAGAUUAAGCCAUGCACGUGUAAGUGACCCGGAAGGGGAACAGCGAACGGCUCAAUAAAGCAGUUUGGAUCGGAUUGGCAGAGAAAAACGGAUAACCGAGGGAAACUUCGGCUAAUACGGAAGACGCAGGCCUUAGGCGCGGAGGCGGGAGGCAAGAGCGGAGCGGGAGCGAGGCCAAGCGAGAGACUGUCCUAUCAGCAAGUAGGUAAGGUAGGGGCUUACCUAGGCGACGACGGGUGGCGGGGAAUUAGGGUUUGAUUCCGGAGAAGGAGGCUGAGAGACGGCUCCUAGAUCCAAGGAACGCAGCAGGCGCGAAACUUGCUCACUUCCCUCGGGGAGAAGCAGUGACGAGACAUACGAGCAAUCGAAAGGGCGCGGUGCAAAGAGCCGUGCGAACGCAACUGGAGGGCAAGUCUGGUGCCAGCUC